rnacentral:rRNA from 1 species
AACGAACGCUGGCGGCGUGCCUAACACAUGCAAGUCGUGCGAGAAAGUUCCUUCGGGAGCGAGUAAAGCGGCGCACGGGUGAGUAACACGUAGGUAACCUGCCCCCCAGUCUGGAACAACUAGAGGAAACUCUAGCUAAUUCCGGAUGAGACCACGAUCCCUUCGGGGGUUGCGGCCAAAGAUGGCCUCUACUUGUAAGCUAUCGCUGAGGGAUGGGCCUGCGGGCCAUUAGCUUGUUGGUGAGGUAACGGCUCACCAAGGCUGUGAUGGCUAGCUGGUCUGAGAGGAUGACCAGCCACACUGGGACUGAGACACGGCCCAGACUCCUACGGGAGGCAGCAGUGGGGAAUAUUGCGCAAUGGGCGAAAGCCUGACGCAGCGACGCCGCGUGGGUGAUGAA